UACGGAGGGGGCUAGCGUUGCUCGGAAUCACUGGGCGUAAAGCGCACGUAGGCGGCUUUUUAAGUCAGGGGUGAAAUCCUGGAGCUCAACUCCAGAACUGCCUUUGAUACUGAGAAGCUUGAGUCCGGGAGAGGUGAGUGGAACUGCGAGUGUAGAGGUGAAAUUCGUAGAUAUUCGCAAGAACACCAGUGGCGAAGGCGGCUCUCUGGGACGGUACUGACGCUGAGACGCGAAAGCGUGGGGAGCGAACAGG
rnacentral:rRNA from 1 species